AAUCAAUUGGGGAUCGAAUGAAUUGAGUUUUCCUCUUCUCUUGUGUUCUUCUUCUCUAUCUUUCGAUCAUCUACUGUUAUUACGAAACUGUUCGUAACACCCCACUAUCCUAUUUCUCCUCCUAAAUCCUUGCUACUACAACCGCACCUCCUGUAGGUUAUUUUAUACAUCGGCCCCAAACCUUCCAUUCUCAUUCUCAUAUUUACAUUCUUCAACUAUUCCCCCAAACCCUAAAGCUAUUCAAAAUACAUCCAACUUUACAAGCCACUGGAGUAGUUCGAUUUCAUCAACAAUCCAUGGGAGCCGUUACCAACAACUGAUUGGUAAACCCUUACCUAUUUUCUCAUCUUCUCCAUUCAAUCUCCACGAAUCGCCAGUCACUGCUUGCAGAAUUGACCGUGUCACUUCGCCAGUUUCCGCAGAUGAAUAUGUGCCAUCUGUAACGGAAUGGAUGUGGUGUAUGGAGGGACCUCUCCGAUGUUGGGGGUAUUUUCGAGUUUUACUUCUCUUUUGGCCCGUCCUUUCUUGCCGUGGUCGCCCUACUUGUUAGCAUUUAUGAUGGAAGAGAUACACAAUGAUGGAACAAAUUACAUGAAAAAGUGAAGGAUCAAGAUGACAUUGUUGAAGCCGAGAUACACCAAGUCAAGAAAUUGAAGGAUCUACAUGACAGUGUUGAAGCCAAGGUUCAUUGGGACAUGAAAGAGAAGGUUAAAGUGUUAAUCAUAAUAGCAUAGUUAUUAGUAUUCUCUAGAUGAACUGGUGUGUGUAAAAGUUUAGAGGUGGAUUUGGAGGCCUGCUAUGUGACAUUAUAUUGCAUUUGUAGCAGGAAAAUUUUUGUUGGCAAUUCUGAUGGUUUCUUUGUCUAAAAGUUAAUGUCUGAUCUGUCUUUUUUGUUAAUAGCAAACAUGUGGAGCAAAGGAUCGGAAGAGCUAUCAGAAAAGAAAAAGGGAAUACCAUUAAAGUUGAUGGGUAACAAAAGGACAUCGACAUAAGAUUUAAUAUUGUUUUUUCAGAUCUUGACCUCAUUGGACUCAUUUUUCAAAACAAUGCCAUUGACGGAAGAUGUAAUCAAGAGAUUGCGCCCAAAGGUCAUGGGUUGAAGACAACUGAUCUUACCAUGUCCCACACAUCAAUAGUAAUUGGAUUAUCCGCUACUGAAUCGACAACAUGUGUACUUGCAGCCUGCAUGUGCGCCAAUUUACAAUGCAAAACUCUUACUAAACGGGAUCAUUUUCAGAAACCGGAUUGUGCGAGGAUGAAAUGAGCUCAAAUUCACAAAAGAAGCAAAAAGACAGCUAAUUCUAACAUAAAUACAAGAAAAGAAACAAAAGUGGAUUGCCCGCACCCUCAACGGCAUGCUCCCAAGCAGAGAAGAGAAAACAGAAGACUGAACACGCCCCGUGCUCAGCCAGCACGGGGCCGUGCCCUAGAAGCAGCAGAAAAGACAAACCUAUAGAAGCUUCUAUUGCCCACCACGGGGCCGUGUCCAGUGAGCACGGGGGCGUGGCGAAAGUACAGCAGGCGCAUUAAUUGUAAUUGCGAAUUACAAUUAAUGAAGAGAUAGAGUGUCAGACGGGCACGGGGGUGUGUCCAGCGGACACGGGGCCGUGCCCAGCCUUCUGUUCAGCCUAUAAAUAGGAGUGCGUGGUUUCAUUUCAACUCAUCCCUUGGCACACCACCUCUCUCACACUUCAUCCACCACCCACCACCACCAUAACACCAUCAUCCACCACCAUCAUCCAUUGUCCACCGUAGAGUGUGUGAGUCGUCUCGGGAUCCAAGAUUGAUCGUAAGAGUUCUUGACAAUCAAAGGCCAUGUUUGCCUAAGUCUCUUACAUCACUUGGUGAAGACAAGUGUUUAGUAUAAUACUUUUUAUUUUUAAUCUUUUGCACUUUUUGUUUGGUUUUGUAUUAAUGACUUUAAUAACUAGUUGCUUAUGUUGAAGGUGAUCUUUCCUUA